ensembl:snoRNA SNORA71 Small nucleolar RNA SNORA71
GCCUGCAUUCAAAAGGGAGGGAGGCCUUCACCUGUGGCCUUUGUCACUGAUAGUGCAGGCAGAGAGGAUGCCUGGAAGCAUUUCCCAUGUUUGUGGAGCCUCUUGCCAUGUCCUUCGAACACUGAGCUUUUCGGACA